AUUGAACGCUGGCGGCAUGCUUUACACAUGCAAGUCGAACGGUAGAGGGGGCAACCCCUCGAGAGUGGCGAACGGGUGAGUAAAGCAUCGGAACGUGCCCAGUAGUGGGGGAUAGCCCGGCGAAAGCCGGAUUAAUACCGCAUGAGACCUACGGGUGAAAGGGGGGGAUCGCAAGACCUCUCGCUAUCGGAGCGGCCGAUGUCAGAUUAGGUAGUUGGUGGGGCAAAGGCCUACCAAGCCGACGAUCUGUAGCUGGUCUGAGAGGACGACCAGCCACACUGGGACUGAGACACGGCCCAGACUCCGACGGGAGGCAGCAGUGGGGAAUUUUGGACAAUGGGCGAAAGCCUGAUCCAGCCAUGCCGCGUGCGGGAAGAAGGCCUUCGGGUUGUAAACCGCUUUUGUCAGGGAAGAAAUCCUUUGAGCUAAUACCUCGGGGGGAUGACGGUACCUGAAGAAUAAGCACCGGCUAACUACGUGCCAGCCGCCGCCGUAAGAC
rnacentral:rRNA from 1 species